AUGCCUCUCUUAUCCUGUGCUGGGGUUUCUCUGAUGCAGCGGCUGGGCUGCCUGGCACUCAGGUAUGCCCAGCCUGGAGAUGGGGAGUUAGUGCCAGGGUGCCACCCUUGAGGAGGGGGGAGUGGAAGCCAGUUGAUGCCCACUUCCCUAUUUCUUCCCUAGCUGACUGCUCUGGGAUACGUUCCAUAAGACUCCUCAGAAGAUUCUGAGGGAUUAAGCACCAACUGACGACAGCGGUGGCCAAUUCAAGAAUUCAUCCUUGUGUUGGGGUUUACUUCCUUCGCCUUCACUCGCCCCGCCUCUCACAACUGCCCCCUGAGAUACAUGUUCAAGCAAACACACAGGUACACAGCCUUCAUUUCAGGCUCUUCUCUAAGGGAACCCCAGGCUGAGCAACCACUGUCAGCCAGCGAAUUCAAGGGGGUUGAGGGAUUUCUUGGAAAGAGUGAGAGAAAAGGGGGGUGGGACGGGAGGGAAGGAUGGAGAGAGAGAAAGGGAGAACAGAGGAGGAAGAGAGGAAGAGAGAGGGAGGAGGAGGGAGAGGAGAGAGACAGAAAGAGAGCUGAAGCCGAAGAAGGCAAACUGUAGUCCUCUGAGCAGGACUACAGUCUCUGCCAACCCUCAGGCCAGUGGGCAGCUGGGAGGAAAAAUACAAAGUACAAUCGCCUGCCACCCACUGCCCCCUGCCAGAGACUUCUGUGGCUGAACCAAUUCCCAGAGGGGGAGGAAGGGUCAGCCUUCAUGCAGUUCAUAGAGGUCAGCCUCCCAGGGCACAGAAUAGGUGAGAAAGAUAGGAGAUAGAACUGGAAGCAGACAGAAUUGCCAGCACAACCACGUCUGCCCACACCCCAGUUUUCUCUCCUGACAGAAGAGAAGUUCUUACAGAAUUGGCCACAACAUCAGUAUCUUCACAAAGCCGUCUUUUCAAAGUGGUAAAUGCUUCUAGGAUGAGGUUGCUCUUGCAACCACGCAGAAAUAACGUGUUGGCUACACAUAAUUUUGGUUUAUCGCCAUUGAGCAUAAUCAUCAUAAUAAACGCAGUCAUCAUCUGGAUUUAGCAGCCUCGUUUGUAUGAAGACAAGUGUGGACCUGCAUUCAGAACAUCCCCUGGUUCAAAGCCCAGCGCUGCUACGAACAACAAUUGGGCCCUGGAACGAGUUUCCUUAACCCUCGGAGUCUCGGUGUUCUCAUCUGCAAAAUAGGAUUAAAAUAUCUACCCCACCUCACAAAAUUUUUGUGGGGAUUCAGUGAAAGGAGAUAUUGCAAAUGGUGGCAAAUGGACUUCGCUUGGGAGCGAAGAAGAAGGGACUUCUUGUCACAGGGCUCAUCCUCAGCUGUGUUCAAAAAAACGUUCCGUGAGAAGCUAUGACUUAUGUGUUAAGGAAAGAAUGUACUCUGUCUCAGGUGUAAUUCAUCUUGUAUCUAAAAAUGCAUGAUUCU
rnacentral:lncRNA from 1 species